GUUAACCAAGUUAACCAUUUAGAUCAAUUCCAAAAACAACAUCAGAGUUUUACAAGGUUUAUAAGAAAACAGCAGAAGGUAAAACAACAAGCGGAAGCUACUUCGUCGGGGUCGGACAUCCCUGGUGAGGCCAACCGGGACGUCAGUGAUCCCUCUCCUCGCCGUCCGAGGAGGGAUCCCACUCAACCGUCCAACCCGGAGGGAGUUGGG
rnacentral:lncRNA from 1 species